UACGGGGGGGGCAAGCGUUGUCCGGAAUUAUUGGGCGUAAAGAGCUCGUAGGCGGUUUGUCGCGUCUGCUGUGAAAUCCCGAGGCUCAACCUCGGGCUUGCAGUGGGUACGGGCAGACUAGAGUGCGGUAGGGGAGAUUGGAAUUCCUGGUGUAGCGGUGGAAUGCGCAGAUAUCAGGAGGAACACCGAUGGCGAAGGCAGAGCUCUGGGCCGUAACUGACGCUGAGGAGCGAAAGCAUGGGGAGCGAACAGG
rnacentral:rRNA from 1 species